rnacentral:rRNA from 1 species
AUACGUAGGUGAAAAGUGUUAUCCGGAUUUACUGGGCGUAAAGGGCGUGUAGGCGGUCUUGCAAGUCAGAAGUGAAAUUCCUGAGCUCAACUCGGGCGCUGCUUCUGAAACUGCAGGACUUGAGUGCUGGAGGGGAUAGCGGAAUUCCUAGCGGAGCGGUAAAAUGCGCCGUUAUUAGGAAGAACACCGGUGGCGAAGGCGGGUAUCUGCACAGUAACUGGAGCUGAGGUGCGAACUCGUGGGGAGAAAACAGGCUUUGAUACCCUGAUAGUCCCCGCCGUAAACGGUGAAUACUAGGUGUAGGGGGUAUCGACUCCAUCUGUGCCGCAGUUAACACAAUAAGUAUUCCGGCUGGGGAGUACGGUCUCAAGGUGGGAGCUCAAAUUAAUUGACGGGG